rnacentral:lncRNA from 1 species
GAUUAUUCACUUGGUUCCGUAUGUAAUCAGUAGUGAAAUAUAAGAACAUAUAUUUAGGAACGAAGGGAGUACUUUUGAUAAAAGACUCGGUUGAUGACAACGGUACGUCGUGUCUGCCCCUGGCCACUACUCUUCUCCACAUGUGCAAAAGACACCUUAGUAUUUCCAAAUCAUCACUCCCCUAAGUCAUCCUAACCAAUAAAAGGAAUAAUUUUUGGGCGAAACCUAACUAUUUCUAGUGAUAUAGACAAAAAAGGUGUGAACCAAAUAUUAGUCUAUUU